rnacentral:rRNA from 1 species
UACAGAGGGUGCGAGCGUUAAUCGGAAUUACUGGGCGUAAAGCGUGCGUAGACGGUUAUCUAAGUCGGAUGUGAAAGCCCCGGGCUCAACCUGGGAAUUGCAUUCGAGACUGAAUAGCUAGGGUACGGUAGAGGGAAGUGGAAUUUCCGGUGUAGCGGUGAAAUGCGUAGAUAUCUGGAGGAACACCGGUGGCGAAGGCGGCAUCCUGGACCGGCAUUGACGCUGAGGAGCGAAAGCCAGGGGAGCAAACGGG